rnacentral:rRNA from 1 species
GAAUUUUGGAUAAUGGGCGAAAGCCUGAUCCAGCAAUGCCGCGUGCAGGAAGAAGGCCUUCGGGUUGUAAACUGCUUUUGUACGGAACGAAAAGCUUUGGGUUAAUACCCUGGCGUCAUGACGGUAUCGUAAGAAUAAGACCAGGCUAACUACGUUCCAGCAGCCGCGGAACUACGUAGUGUGCAAGCGUUCAUCGGAAUUACUGGGCGUAAAGCGUGCGCAUGCGGUUUUGUAAGACAGAGUUGAGAUCCCCGGGCUCAACCUGGGAACUGCCUUUGUGACUGCAAGGCUAGAGUACGGCAGAGGGGGGUGGAAUUCCGCGUGUAGCAGUGAAAUGCGUAGAUAUGCGGAGGAACACCGAUGGCGAAGGCAACCCCCUGGGCCUGUACUGACGCUCAUGCACGAAAGCGUGGGGAGCAAACA